CUUAUCUAGUUGUUCAGAAAUAAAAACAUCAUGUAAGUAAAGAGCACUGAGCACCAAACCCACAGAUCCUGAAUCUGAUACUCUGAGCAACCGUCAGUACAGAGCACCUACAAGCCAGCAUAACGCAGUGUACAUUGUAGUAAGCUUCCUGGGAAGCGGGGCGGAGAAAUGAAAAGGGUUUUACCCCGGCACUCGCACCUUCCCAGCAGACACUGCUUGCAUACUGUUGGCUAUGAAGUGCUAACACAGCUUCCCUUUCCCACGUACAGUGAAGGGAGGACCCAAGAGAAACCAAAAGGUAACAUUUAAGCCACAAAGGGCACCUCCUCCAUUGAAAAGCUGCUUUGGGGGAAUUGGAGAGGGAGGAUGUCUCGACGAGACCAGAGUGUGAAGCAGAUAUGAUACUGAGCUGUCUUGGCUCUGUAACCACUCGGGAUCGAAGUGGUAACACAGCUGGAGCACUAUCAUGUUAUAGAUCAAACACACCUAUAAUAGAUUUUGCAGCCUAGACAGCCACAAACACUGAAACAUAUCACAGGAACACUGAAGACUGUUACAAGUGCUGAGGGCUGAAUAAAUCAAAGUAGCUCCUACUGAUAAGUAAAUGGGUAAUGUUGGAGGAGUCUGGGAUCAAGAGGGUAGAGGUAAUAACCAUUAAGUGAGAGAAGCCAAUGACUGGUAAGCCAAAUGCAAAUAAGUGAUUUCAAACAAGCUACUGCCCUAACAGUUUAAUUCUGGAUGUGGAACACGUGAUUCAAAGGUCUAUGGAUGCUCCUUAGAAAAUCAAGCAAGAAGCCACCCAAUUAAAUGUUUCAUUUGAACCCUAGUCACACUGCCCAAGGAGUUGUAUGAGCUCUCCACAAACACAGUUAUAAACGUGGCAGGGAAAGGGGAUCCCAAGGGGCAGUUCAACCUUUAAAAUUCCUAGGUGACUUGUUAAAGCAUAACCUGGAUCUCAAAUGCAUUUGUCCACAGACUGAAGCUGGGAUCUAUCCACAUCAGGGGUGAGGAACAGAAGAGGCUGCCUCUGCUUCUCACCAUGGCGAUUCAGCCUGAUGUUGGAGCAGGAGGAGGAGUACAAUAUACUGCAGUGCACUUCAGGGACACCAUGUGAUUAGCCAUCCACGUUCCCCUUCCUGAAGUGCCGUACAGCAGACAAGUGACUGAGCGGAGCAACAGGAAGGAGCUUUGUGGAGCGAGCUUGGAAAUGGCAUCAGACUAACAACAUCUGCUCCAGCCCAUCUCAACUAACUUCUCUUUUCCUCGGAAGGACAGUGAUUACCAUCUUUAAUACCAUCUAAGAGAUUCUCAAAUUGGGGACUUGGGGGAGUCCUUUUAAAAAUCCAGCUGGAGGGAAAGGGAACAAUAAAUGUUCAAAUGAAAAUCUUACUUAAUAUUUUACAUUUCAAAUGCUUUAACUGUUUUUCCUUCUUUUCUGUAUCUUUAAUAAAAGGUCAAAAAUA